GGAGCAGUCCGGUAGCUCGUUGGGCUCAUAACCCAAAGGUCGUAGGUUCAAAUCCUGCC
rnacentral:tRNA from 1 species